rnacentral:lncRNA from 10 species
GGGACUACAGGUGUCCGCCACCAUGUCCGGCUAAUUUUUUUGUAUUUUUAGUAGAGACCGGGUUUCACUGUGUUUGCCAGGAUGGUCUCGAUCUCCUGACCUCGUGAUCAAAGUGCUGGGAUUACAGGCGUGAGCCACCGCGCCCAGCCUACUUCCCUCCUUUCAAAACCUCAAGUUACAUUUGACUUUCACAGAAUAACUGACCCCAGAAUUGGGCUGGACCCAAUACUUGCUCAGGUCCUUACCAGAAGACAGGCGAUGUACACCCUGAUUGGGAAGGAAGCUGCCUGCACCAGAGUUACGAGGAGCUAAGAUGGCGCAGCCAAGGUGGUGAGCAAACUGCUUUCCAGAUCAGUGCUUUUUCAGGAUACCAUUCUCCUUUUUAUUUUGGACAACAAGUAUGGAAGAUAAAAGUAUUGGGCCGGCUCCCUUCCUCACCUGGGCAAUCUAGACUGUUCCAGAGCAAGAGUUCCAACGAAGAAGCAUAGCACUCUGGUCUAAGCAUGGAAAACUUAUUAAUGGAAAAUUAAUGGAAAUUAAUGGAAAACUUAAACUGGUGAAUAAAAUGAAUGUUCUAAACUAUGGAAGGAAAAGGAUGUACAUAGAUACUGCAGAGUUCUACAAAAGAUGAUUUCUUAAGAGACACAUUUGGAUAAUUGGAGGAGAAAUCACUCAAGGUCUAUUGACACAGUAGAGAAGGCUGUUCUUUGCACCUCUGAUUCAGGGAGUGAAGACCUGUUUUCCACCAACUGUUACAGAAGAAACUUAUGCAACAGAAAAUUCAAUGUCCAUGCUCUGGGAAGCUUAUGAAGAAACUAGUAGAUUCUUGAACAACAAUAACAACAAUAACAGUAAUAAGACAUCACCAGUUGCUGAGGUGGUACUUCUGUCUGGGUUCUGGCCCCAUAGUUUUUGUUCCAGAGGAUAAAAGAGGUGUCCCUCAACCGCCUUUCUUUGCAGCCCUCCCUCUGAGGGCAAAAAAAUGAUCCCAAAGAACAAAUUUGAUCCUGUCACUCCUCUGCUUAAACCUUUCAGACAAUCCUACUCAAUAAUCUAUUGCAAUUUCCUCAAACUUUAGUCAAAAUAUAUAUAUUUUUGCCUUAUCCCAGUGCCAUUUAUACACUUUCUACUUAAAGCGUGCUCUUUGGACCACCCUCAUGGGCAGCAUCUGGGAGCUUACCACAAAUGCGGAGUCUCAGGCUCCACCCCGACCUCCCCUCAACAGAAUCUGCAUUUAAACAAGAUACUCAGAUGGUGUGUAUGCAUAUUAAAGGUUGAAGGACACAGUCCUACACUUUCUAGAUAUAUAUUUUUUAAUUGGCAUUCUUCUAAAAAUGCAAACAAAUCUCUUUAAAGACAACUAUAUCACUAAUACAAGUGAAAAGCCAGUGCCAUUUUCUAUAAAUAGCAUAUUAUCUAUAAAAGUAAAUACAAUAAACAUAAAACAACGUGCCAGGAAAAAUUAUGAAAGACAUUAAAAUGGGCAAAAAAUAAGGUUACUGGGUAUCUUGUCUAUUGCACCCUUCUGGGUUAUUUGUUCUUUUAAUUGUUCUUGAGCUAUUUAUAAGACUUUAAGUUAUAGAAAACUUAUGUGUAAAUAGACUUACACAAUACACAUCUUACCAAUAGGAGAGCCAAUGAGUUUUAGCUGAUGGAAUGGAAUUGCUUACUGCUCUGUUGAUAUUGAUCAGUUUUGCCUCUAUUGGUAAAUUCAUCUCAGCAUUCCUUAUCUGCCUCUUUAUGUGUGUGUUACUUGAAUUCUCCUUUGAACUGGUUGUAACAUCUUACUUGUUCACUCAUUAAUAAGUUAAAUAAAAUCAUUAACACAUGUUCAUUUUAUAUUUGUAUGAAAGUUAUGAUUUUAUCUUUUAAAAAUUAUCCUUUGACAAACAUAAUUUUCAACUGUAGCUAGAUACUGAUGCCUUCCAACAAUUCUAAGCCUGAGGCCAAUCUUUGUCUGAUAAAGAUGGAGAUGAGCACAUUUUUCAUAGGUACUUAUUCAUUCAGCAAAUAUCUUUUGAACAUCUGCUGUGUCCUGAACAUUGUUCACUUUAACAGUUGGGAAUUAUUCAGGUGUGAAAAAAAUGUUAAAAAUUCCUGGCCUUAAUGAGCGUAUAUUCUGGUAGGGAUAGAUACAUACUAAACAAAAUAAAAUUGAAAAUUAUGUAGUAUACUAAUUGAUGAUAAAUGCUAUUGGGAAAAAUAAGUCAAGGAUGGAGUUAUGAAGGGGAUUCAAUUUUAUGUAACUGGUGUCAGGGAGGGCAUCCCCGGGAAGACGACAUGUGAACCAAGACUUGAAGAAAAUAGGGGUGUGAACCACAGGUAUCCUGGGAAGGGCGUUCCAGGCAGAGAGAAUGGAAAGCGCAAAGGUCCUGAGUAGGAAUGCGCUUGUUGGGUUCAAAGACUAGGAAGGAGGCUAAUGUGACUCUAGUAGAAUGCAUGAGGGAAGGAGACAAAAUGAGCUCAGAGAUGUCAUUGGAAGUCAAGUUGUUGCAAGGCCUUGUAGGUCAUUGAAAGGACUUCAGUUGUUAUUCCAAGUGAGUUGAGGAGCAUGUAUUAGGGCUCUGCAGAGAAACAGAACCGAUAGGAUAUAUAUAAAAAUAGAGGAGCCAAGAAGUCUCACAAUCUUCUGUUUGUAAGCUGGAGAACCAGAAAAGCCAGUGGUGUAAUUCAGUCUGAGUCUGAAGGCC